GUGAGUUAACGCUAAACCUGCCGUGAGGCAGGGACGGAAAGCCACGGGGCUACCGAAGUGGAGAUGCGAGAUCGGAGAUUUGGCAAGCGACCAAAUCUCCGAUUUCAAAUCUUACAUCCUUAGCUGGCCGGGCUGCCUCA
rnacentral:ncRNA from 1 species